rnacentral:rRNA from 1 species
GACGAACGCUGGCGGCGUGCUUAACACAUGCAAGUCGAACGGAAAGGCCCUGCUUUUGUGGGGUGCUCGAGUGGCGCACGGGUGUGUAACACGUGAGUAUCCUGCCCUUGACUUUGUGAUAUCUUCAGGAAACUGCUGCUAAUACCUGAUAGGAGCUCCUGCUGCAUGGUGGUGGUUGGAAAUUUUCGGCGGUUGGGGAUGGACUCGCGGGUUAUCAGCUUGUUGGUGGAGUAGUGGCUUACCAAGCCUUUGACGGGUAGCCGGCCUGAGAGGGUGACCGGCGACAUUGGGACUGAGAGAGGGCCCAGACGGGAACGGGAGGCAGCAGUGGGGAAUAUUGCACAAUGGGCGGAAGCGUGAUGCAGCAACGCCGCGUGCGGGAUGACGGCCUUCGGGUUGUAAACCGCUUUAGGCUGUGACGAAGCGGGAGUGACGGUAAUGGGUAAAGAAGCACCGGCUAACUACGUG